CUACGGGAGGCAGCAGUAAGGAAUAUUGCGCAAUGGACGACAGUCUGACGCAGCGACGCCGCGUGGGAGAUGAAGGUCUUCGGAUUGUAAACCCCUUUCGGGAGGGAAGAUGGAAUAGGGUAACCUAUUCGGACGGUACCUCCAGAAGCAGCCACGGCUAACUUCGUGCCAGCAGCCGCGGUAAUACGAAGGUGGCAAGCGUUGUUCGGAUUUACUGGGCGUACAGGGAGCGUAGGCGGUUGGAUAAGCCCUCCGUGAAAUCUCCAGGCUUAACCUGGAAAGUGCAGAGGGGACUGUUCAGCUAGAGGAUGGGAGAGGAGCGCGGAAUUCCCGGUGUAGCGGUGAAAUGCGUAGAGAUCGGGAGGAAGGCCGGUGGCGAAGGCGGCGCUCUGGAACAUUUCUGACGCUGAGGCUCGAAAGCGUGGGGAGCAAACAGGAUUAGAAACCCGAGUAGUCC
rnacentral:rRNA from 1 species